UACAGAGGUGGCAAGCGUUGUUCGGAAUUACUGGGCGUAAAGGGCGCGUAGGCGGUCCCGUCAGUCCUUUGUGAAAUCCCCCCGGCUCAACUGGGGAACUGCAAGGGAUACAGCGGGGCUUGAGUUCGGGAGAGGGAAGCGGAAUUCCAGGUGUAGCGGUGAAAUGCGUAGAUAUCUGGAGGAACACCGGUGGCGAAGGCGGCAUCCUGGACCGGUAUUGACGCUGAGGCGCGAAAGCCAGGGGAGCAAACGGG
rnacentral:rRNA from 1 species